rnacentral:rRNA from 1 species
UACGUAGGGUGCGAGCGUUGUCCGGAAUUAUUGGACGUAAAGAGCUCGUAGGCGGUCUGUCGCGUCGAUCGUGAAAACUUGGGGAUUAACCCUGAGCUUGCGGUCGAUACGGGCAUGACUAGAGUGCGGUAGGGGUGACUGGAAUUCCUGGUGUAGCGGUGGAAUGCGCAGAUAUCAGGAGGAACACCGAUGGCGAAGGCAGGUCACUGGGCCGCAACUGACGCUGAGGAGCGAAAGCAUGGGGAGCGAACAGG